rnacentral:rRNA from 1 species
AGGGUCCUGAAGGAACGUUGAAGACUACGACGUUGAUAGGCCGGGUGUGUAAGCGCAGCGAUGCGUUGAGCUAACCGGUACUAAUGAACCGUGAGGCUUAACCUU